GUAGAUUAAAGAGCUUUGUUCAUCUUUGCCUUGUAUUUUACAGGGUCAUCUAGAAAAAUGAGUGUCAAACAUCGCUGUUGGGGAAUAGUAGACUUUAAAUAAACUCUGCAUUCACUUUUGCCACAGUUAUAGAAGACAUGGUCGAACAUCAGCAGGAACAUCAGAAGGAAAUACUCUACAGAAGAAGAUGGAUAAUAUGGUUCAGAGCCAGCAAAGGGCAAUCCCCAUUUACAAAAUGUGGUUUCCCUAACAGCCCACUGAAUAAUCUGUGAAAAAGAACCCACAUCCCUCUCAUGCCUGAGAUUCAUGCAUCAAAGCAAAAGAGUUUCUGAUAUGAUGUGGCAUGGAAGAAAUAAACUAAUGCCUGCACUGAGGACACAUGGGUGGAGCACACAAGGUGGAGCAUACACGCGUUUGCAGAUGGCAAAGCUGGUCCUGGAUCACUCUGCCUGAAUGUCACCAUCAAAUGCUUCUUAUUGCCCCAUCUCAACUUAGACUAAGUAGUCAAAAGUCUGAUUUCAGUUAUUUUGAUGGAAAUCAAGCUAAUUUUUUUGUGGUUCAUAUAAUUACUCCAAAAAUUAAGGUAGAAGAAUUUCCUCAAAAUUUCACAGAGAAAUACUUCCAGCUGAGAUAGACAUAAUAUGGUUUAAAACGUUGACUGUAAUAUUAGGUUGUGAUGCCCAUAAAAAUUACUUUUAAUUCCUUUCUUUGAUCUUCAAAGUCAGUUUGUCAUUGGUCUGUCUCAGGUUUUGGGUUCUCUUCCCAGUAUUGAUUACAUACUGAAUUUUCAGUAGAUUAAAAGGUUUAUUCUUGUUAAUCUAUUUUCUUCUGGUUUAGUGGAUUUGGGCAUAAGAAAUUCAAAGAUGGCCUUUAUUCUCAGAUCCCAAAAUAUGUGCUUAAAAGUAUACAAAACAUUCUAAUCACACUGCUCCAUAAUUCUUAAUUAAAAGUCUAUUUUUCCUUGAUGUAAAGAGGGAACAGUUAAAUAUCAGCAUUAAUAUCAAAUGAAUCUUACUCCAGAAAAUUUAGCACAGCUUUAAAUAAUAAGAUACGUUACACUGAUAAAAAUUGCAAAGUUGGGCAGUUUAUUCUAAUUUGACAAUACUGGUCAUGCAACUCCAAGUCAUUUGGAAAAGAUGAUGUCAAAGAAAAGCUCCUGAUAAAAACUGCACCUAUUCCAGCUGAUAUAAAGCAAACAUAGUAAAUAUAGUGCCAUGUAUUUCUUAAACAAAGCAAGUCAUAUCUCAAAAUUUCCUGCAUAUCUCAGGUCAUAUCACGGGAGAUUUACUACAAACUUACUGGAAGGUUUGUAGCUGUAACCUGGGAGGAUGUGCAGCCUUCCCUUUUCUAAGCAUUAUGUGCCUGAGGGAGGUUUUGUUGACUUGAAUAGAUUUUCUCCCAGCUGGUACCAGCCUAGGUGAAAGAAUCAAGCUCUGCACGUAGACAUUCUGCUGAUUAACUAAAAACCUGAAGGGAAAAUUGGGUGAUGGCAUUCAUCAUAUUUUCUCCAUCCCUAAAUAUUCCAAGAUAUGAUUAGAUGCAAUGCAGGAUGCUUAAUCUUACUUGCAUAUUUUCCCAUCAUUCUAUUCAAGACACUGAAAAAAAAGUUGCAAGUAUCUCAUUUUGUGGAUAACAAAUGUAAACUAUUUGAAGGUGUGUUCAAGGACAGUUCUGCUUAUUUCAGACUUCCUUUGGUGGUACAGGCUUUGCAGUUUUUCCAGCCUCAAUUGUUAUGCAGGACUUUGAAAGCUAGUGAAAAUUUCAUAAUAUUUGUACUUGAGAGACAUGAGAGUGUAGCAGUACAAGUCUGAUUACUUUGGUUAAAAUGUAUUAAUGCUACAAAUUAUUUUUUUAAGUGCAAUUCAUUUCUAGCUUACUUGUGAUGACUUGCAGAGUAGUUAAUUACUGCUUGGAGGCAAAAAUUGUGGCAUAGAGGUCAUUAAAAAAAAAAGAAAGAUUUAGGGAGUGCAAAAAAAGGGCAAGGUUGUUUUUUUCUUUAGAUCUGGUUACUUUGACCAGAAGGGGAUACAUUUUUAUAGCAUGCAUAAAGCAGAAAUACUUAUCUUGAAGCAAAACCACAGUGUUUUCCCUUCUGUUUUUAGAAUCAACCAUUUGAUUGCCCUGUAAUAUUGUUAGACUGAUCUUUUGUCACUGGUUUCUAUUGCAAUGCUUUCCCUGACAUUGAACUGGAAAUUUUAAUAUUAUGUUUUUCUUUAAUAUUGUAGGUAAUUCUCAGCUUUCCCUCAAAUUCUAUUGAUGAUACACAAAGAAAAUUUCAUUAAGAAAAUGUGGUGAAGCUAUAAGAAAAAUUGAGAAAAGAUCUAAAUACUUUUUAUGUUUUAGUUGCAUUAACUUAAUAUUCCCUCAAAAUAGUCUUGAAUUUGACACUUGCAAAGUUAAUCCAGAACAUUUCCUUUUAUCAAUAUCAUCCCAAACUUGACUGCCUCCUGUUUCCCAGGAAGCCUAUAAGAAACUGCUAGAAACAAAAGCACCUUGCAAAAUCUGAUCCAACAAAGUGAGUCAAGCUUUUAGGUGGGCACCUCAGCCUGACCAUAAACCAAGCAUAAACCCAGCAAAUAAAUUUGCUGUCUCAGAGACCUGAUUAGAAAUGGGAUUUGCUACUGCCUGCCUGAAAGCUGAUAAAACAUGGAGGCAGGGAACAGGACUGUUACAUCAACUUAAUGGAAACCAAGGGAAACACAUUUUCUCAAACUUAUGGGAGCCCAAACAGCUUAUUUUUUUAAUGGGAAACAUAAAUACUCUUGUUUCUUGGAGUAAAAUAGAGGUGUUGAAUUUUGAGAAUUUAACAAGAAAAAAUGUGUUUCUGGUUUGAGUGCUCAGACUCCUACCCAGAAUAAAACCCUUGCAGUAGAUAUUAAUCACUCCAUCUGGAUUGCAUGCAAUUAACAGACUGUUUUUUUUUCUUCUUCACACAAAAAGGCAUUUUUCUGCAUAUUUUUCUAUUUAAUCCAAAGUUUAAAUCAAGAUGGUUGACAAUGGCAGAGAGCCCUGCCUUCAUCCCAGAGCACCUGUUUGUUUCUCUGGUUUCCAUCCACCAAGAAGUCACUUUUUAGUGGGCUGGGUCAUAGUCCACCCUGAGUAAACUGAAGAAAAAUGAAGCCACUGGAGAUUAACCUCACUUCUUGGUAUCUCAGAGUAGUUACUUUUUAUUAAUUUGAUGGAUUUAAGGCUAAAGCCUCUAUGAAAAACAGGGUUCUAAGAGGCUCUGAAAUAGAUUUUUCUUUAAUUGGGCACUUGCCUCUCCCAGGAGAACAGACAUGCAUUCACAGAUACUUUCUGCAUUGCUAGGGUCUUUCUCACUGCUGGCAGAGGCUUCACCAUUACAGGAUUGUUUUAUGUGACUAUGGGAUGAGCUACAUAUAUUAUAAUUUUUUAUUUUGCCCUUUUCCCACAUAUUUUGUAUGUACCAUACUAUCACCCAGGAAUGGCCGUACCAGGUCAUAUCAAAAGUCCAGUAUCUCAUUCUCCUCUGUGAUAGGAGCCAAAAGUAGAUGCUUAAUAUAAAAUUUUAGAUUUGAGGAGAGCAUGGAUGCACAUGGAUACAGAUAAAUGCACACAGAGGACUUUCAGUCAUUAAACUUAUUUUAAUCUCUGAACAUUCCAGACUUGGGUGACUUGCAAGGAUAAGAAGAAAAACAGGUCUCUGCUGCCUCUAUGGGAAAAAGGAGAAGACCUAACUUGGGCAUACUUUAUUCAUGUAAACUAAAUUCUGCCAAAUAUACAUAUGCUUCCUCCUGUAUUUUUUAAAGGAAUAUUAAAUGGCAGAUGAAAAUGUAUUUCUUAAAGGGGACUGAAAUGCACCCUGUACCCACAUAACAUGCCUAAGUUGCACUCCCAUGCACCCAAGAAGUUGUAGGCAAUUGGGAAAGAAAUACCACCAGUACAUUACAUAAAAUUUUCACUGUUAAGUUUCCAAUGCCUUGAAGGUGAAAAGAUCAGGGAAAAAAACUUAUUUCCACAAUCAUUAUUACUAGGUUGCUUGACAGAUUAAACUGAAUUUCCUUGAAUUGAAUUAUGUUAUCUGACCCAGUUCAUAAACUAAAACUUCAUUAUAUUCUGAUUUCUCCCUCCAGAGCUCAUCUUCCAAACAUGUAAUGUUAAUAAAGUUAUUUUUCUCUUUUUACUGUCAGUACCUCCCACUGACUGUCAAAACCAUUCCUUACCAAUUAUAGUUCAUAUUCUCAGAGGUGCAUGAGUUGUCAUGUUACACACACACAAGCCUUUAUCCCCCUUCCCCAUUUUUACACAAGCCUUUUAUUUCCCUCCUCCUCUCUUCCAUGCAGCUCUGAGGGGACCAAUUCCAUCACUAAGACCCCAGGGAUGUUGCACGUGGAGGGACAGAGUGCAGAGCACCAAUCUAAGUAUGAUGGACUCGCUCAACUGAGCACUUGGCUUCAGAGCACGGCUGUCAGCCAGGAACUAAAGAUUCAUGUUGGGCCAGAAAAAAGAAAGGUAAAAGAUACUGAACUAUGCUUUCUGCAUGUUAUUCAGUAUAUCUGGAUUAAGCCAAGAGCUUUAAACAGCUUUCAAGUCCAGAUGGUGAGAAUAUUAAUGUAUGUAUUGAUGUAGAAUUUUGAACAACAAACCCAACAAUAAACAGCUGUUUCAGUUCAGGAGAUGUGCUGGAAUCCCUCAAGUGUUCAUUGUUAUCUUCUUGUCCCAGGAAGAACAGGGCUUGAACUCAGAAGGCCAAGCUUAUUUUAUUUCCUUGGCAUGGAAUUUACAUCUAUGUCCAAAUGAUAAUUUUUAUUUAUCAAAUAUGGAAAGAACAGAGUCUAAACAGAAUAUGUAUACCUGUAAAUUCUUCAAAUCUUUACACAGGGGGUCUGCCAGAAGUCUUUAAACUCUGUUAUUAUUAGAAUAAUUUCAUAGGCCCAUGUAUCCAGCUGCCCACUCUCUUGAUUUUAUCAAGAAUCUCCCGGUAGCAGACACAACAUUCUCUUCUGGCAUCUGGAGAUUACAUGACAAUUUCCACUUUCAUUUAUAAAGAAAAAAAAGCUCCCAAGUUUACAAAGAAGAUAUUGAAACUAGGAACAAAAUAUAAGCAUCAAAUAAAAAGACCACAUUUUAAAAAAAAAAUUAUUUUAAAGUCUGUCUCACCAGAUUCUGAAGGCAUGCCUUACGAUUUCAGGCUGGUGAUUACUGCAAGCCAUUAAGGCUUAGCUCUGAGGCUGGCUCUGACCCCUGCAAAUUUGUACAGAGCUAGGAUUUAGGAUCUUGGCUCUUGGUCUGACUAAUCUAGGAAAUAAAAGACAUGUAAUAAGGAGGAAAGUACAGCUAGGGAAACAAAACAUCUAGCACUCAGUGAGGGACAAAGCCAAAAUGAGGGAUGAGUGCUCAGCAGAGACAGAAAUGCUGUCGGUGUCUUGGUCACAGUACACCUGGCUGGGCUCCUCACCAGCCACCAAUCGCUUUGGGAUUCUUCAAGAUAAAGAGACUUCCCUGAAUACCAGUUAUCAAUACUGAACCAUGCAGAUCUGUUUUCACAGCUGGGUGCCCUGAUGCCUACAGCUAGUGCUGCUUGAAGCAGUGCUCAUUCAAGCCACCUGCCAAUGCAACUCCACAGAUCAGCCAAAUGCCAGGAUUGAAAGCAGUGUCUAUGCCUCAAAAUUAGUUUCUUUGCAAUUUAAAUUAGAUACAUCAACCUAAUGUUUGAUGUCCUUAGUGACAGUUUGAAGGACAUCCUAAAAAAAGAAAACCCUGUCCAGACAACACCACCAAUUUAUACAUUGACAAUAAAUCUCCCCAUAUCUUAAUUUGCAGUGUGAGGAAAAAUAGCAAAACUUAAGGAAAGGUAAUUAAUUUCUACCCUGAUAAGAAUCUCUUUUGUAAAAAAGAAAAACAUUUCACUCUUUUCAGAUUAAAACCAUUCUGAAAGAGCUUAUCUCAAAACCCCUCUCCCCAUUUCAUUAAGUGCCAAGAUUUUAUCAGGCUGAGCCAGGUGAAGACCAAGGGGCAGGAGAGCCCUUCACAGAGGAGACAGGUAAAAAUGCAUACUUCGUGUUACCCAGCUUGGAGCAAAAGGGAGUCGGCCUCUUUUAGCCUUCCUCUGGUAGUUUUAUUAUUUGUGUGUCAAGGAGUGACCUCUUUCCUCCUUAGCAGAGAUUGCUGACUGGAGGAGGUUGCUUUGGAGGAUGAGGAAGGCAUUCUUCCAGCUAGGCUUGUAUAGACCCUCAGCUCAUCCCAUCCUCUUCCUCGCACCACAAAGGCACAGUUAGUGUGUUAGAUUUCAAAGUGCUGCACUGCCAUUAAAGCACUUCACAGAGCCUUUUAGCUCAACACACUUGCAAUUGCUGCCCAAACUGGAUUCAGUGCACCACCACAGAAUCUGGAGAUGGAGACCUGUGCACAGGUCUGUUUAUGAUACCACCCUGGUGGGAAACUCAGUGAACUCAUGCCCUGGAGCAACUUGGAAAACAGCUGGUGCAUCAGUUUAAUAAACUUGCAGCCUAUGUUGUCUUCAGUUGCAUAUGCUUGGAUCCAUGACUUACUGUUCAAUCCAUUUCUUAUGUGUUACUGGAAACUGCACUUAUAUUUCACCUGGUUUGAAAACAUAGCUAUGUACUAUAUUUACUGCCACUCAGCACUUUUUCCCUGGGUCCUCAUCCAUUUCCAGGCAUUGCAAUAUCCUCUUUGCCCUUGUCCAGUUUGAAAGUUAACAGAGCUUUAAUUCAGUGAGUGGCAACAGCAGAGUCCUGCCCCUCCCCAUCACAGAGCAUAACCAGAGACAGCAGGCAAGGCGCAAGUUCUGAGCAAGAGCUGCUAAUUAUCUUGUGGUCAUUCAUAAGCAGCACUAAAAUCAAAGUUAUGAACUUCUGCACCCACAGGUUCUUUGCCCAGUCUUUUAAAGGACUUGAUUUCAUUCCCAAAGGCUUCCAGGACUCAGCUUCUCAGCCUGUCUAUCCCCUGCUAUGCUGACAACUAUUUUUUCCUCAUCCGUGUAUUCAAAGCAGAAGCUAAGAAUGCAAAGGUUAUUCAAGUCCAAAAGCCUCUCUCCAUGGACAGGUCUGUGAUGUCUCUCAUGAUGAAUAGCACCAUGCUGGCAUGCAAAUUUGCUAAAUGUAACCAAGGAAACAGGGUCCUUACUUAAUACCAUACACUUCUCAGAGCAUUUGCUGGAGGCAGAAUAGCAUUUCUGGUAUCUGUAUGCUGUCACUCACCUCUGGGAGUGCAAUGUAAAAAUAAUUAUAUAUGUAUAAUGAAGAAUAGGAAAGAAAUGUGUUGUAUGCAAAUACAGCCAGACAAUCCUCUCAAUUAAUGAACUGAUUUCAUCAGGAAAUCUGAGGAACAGAAUAACAGUUCUGAUUUGGGUUUUAUUCCCAGCUGAAGGCAAAAUAUGCCACUGCUUAGGCCAUCUGGGUAAAGUUUUUUGUUAAAAUGCAUCUGGCCACAUGGAAAGGUCUCACAUGUUGGGAGGGAAGCAAGAUUAUGGCAUGUGUGGACAUCAGUGCUGUCUGAAAGAAACAAACAAACAAACUUGAAAUUUUGAGACAGUCUGAAUAAUAGAGGGACUUACAAGAAGAAUUAUUAGUGAAUAAAAGCUUGAUACUGCCCAGAUCUGCCAGUCAUCCAUAAUAUACCCAGACAAGUGCCUGCUGAAGGAGAUUAUCUGGGACAUGAACCAGGGAAUAUGAACUGUGAAGGAACUUGAAAAGGGGUGAAACUUACGCCUGGAUUUGUGUGAUGCUCAUGGUCUCUCUGGAUGCAGCACACCUCUCAUGCGUUUUUGUUCCUCAUGGUUUCCACCAUGCCAGCAUUAGGCCGUGCUUAACAGUCCACUUCCAGCCCAAACACCUCUAGCAAAGCCACACCAGGACAGGAUGCCAAGAGGAAAACACUCACGUAUGAGAGGAGCGGAAUUCAUUCCUGUUGGGAAAUCUCUGCUGUAGAUGUGAUGUCAGUGUGAGUCAAGCUAUUGAAGCUUUGAGAGCAGCCACAGUGGCACAGGGCAGAGGCAGGAAGCCUCUGGAGGGCUGUGAAGGCACAGGGUCAACGUGCAGUUCUGGGGUGGCAAUGGCACAGGGGAGGGGACUAUCCUGGAGCCAGCAAACGUAGAGGAGAGACAGGAGGGGUGAUUGUGUGUUGCAAACUCAUGGAGAGUGUUAGGUCGUUCAGAAUGAGAAAAUUUUAAACUAGAAAAAUGAGUAACUUAAAAUAAAAAGCAGGAUCUUCUUGUCUUCUCUCAAUCCCUGACAUUCAUCUCCUGCGUCUCUGGUUUCUUCAUUGGGUUCUUUAGGUUUAAAGGUCAGGGCUCCACUCUGCUAAUCCUAAACCCAAAUGUUAAAAAAUCUUUUAGACAGAAGUAACUUUCUACCACUUACUCAAUGGACUGUAAGAUACAGAAUCUCAAUCUAUGUCUAUGAAUGGGACAUGAACAAAUGAGAAAUACACAUAAUAUAAUUGAUGAUGAAUGGAAACAUUUUAGCUGUUUCAAGUGAAUUGCAAGAAAGUUUGACCAUUCAACACAUUUUGAAGGAGAACUGCAAAACUUGAACAUCCACCCCAAAGCUUCUGGAAAUUUAUCUAAAAUAUCCCAGAAUGGUCAUGGUAGGAAAUGUCAGGGAAAAAAUGUCUUUCUAUGGUUUUAAGUAUUUCCUGACUUCCUUUAAACCAGACAUAACCAAAAAAUACCUGUGGUAUUUUCAUAAUUCCAAUUUUUCUCCCGCAGAUUCCAAAGAGUGACAACAUGUAAGAAAACAUAUAUUUUAACCCUAUUCCUACCCUCAAAAAAUUUCACAUUUGAAAAGCUCAAGUUAAAUGUUACUUUCUGUUACAUGUGUCCUUUGUGUCUCCUUAUGUCUUGUCCAUGACUUUUGUGACAAUCCCAGUGCACUUUUUACCAAUUGGACUUCGGAAUUUGUUUUUUGGACAUUGUGUUUUCUCAAUUCAUUCUCUAAAAGAAGGAUGUCACAUGGAACAAAGAUGCCUUUCUUAUGUGGGUGUUGACAUACUUGAUGAUGGCCUUCAGGUCCCAAUGUGUGUCUCAAGCCUGAACAAUGGCACAGCUCUGUGUGACUCAAAAGUUGAGCAAUAUAUACUAAUUUUGAAUGUAUCAGUGCUCAGUAUCACACAGUGAAAUCUGGCACAGCUCAAAACCUAAUGCAGAAGUGCCAAAAGUUUAUUGGGAGGUUUAUGAAACCAAAUUGAGCUCCAAGUUCUGCAUGUUCGUGAUAAAAGAGCCUCGUGUGGCAUUAUGAUGUCACUGAGUGCCACCAAGACUGGGUGCAGACUGAGUGAAUGUGGAGCAAGUGAAGAACCUCUUCCAUAUCACAUUGAUGCCCGGAAAAAAUACAAGAAAGGUGGUGUGUUAGCUAGAGAGAACACAAUAGGCAUUAGUGAUCUGUGGGUUUAGGUUAUUCUGUGACAGUACAAAAAGUACAGCAGGGAACAAUUGGACAUUGACAGGAGAAAAAUCAAUAAUUUUGUAAAAUGUACUAAUCCCAGCAUCACUGUCACUAAGAAAAUCUUUGAAAUACUAGACAGAUAGACACUUCAGAAGAUUAAAGAGACAAGGAGCAUUUAUUUAAGAAAAGUAGUACAGACAUAUAUAACAUAAUUAAUAGUACCAGCAAUGCUAAAUGGGUUAUAUUAUUUACUCUACUUCUUAAUUUACCUUGGGCCAUAGUACAAGAACAUAAUGAAGGAAAUGUUAGAAGUUAAAACAAUGAACACAGAUAAAAGCAAAUACUUUUAAUAAAAAUAUUUGUAAAACAGCACUUUCCCUUGAAUGAUUUCAAACCAUUUUAAUGUAGUUAGGGGCCUCACACUUCCACUUAAGAGCACAGUACAAGAAGAUUAUUUGCAAAGACCAUACAGAGAGUUUGCAUGGUAGUUGAGAGAAGAACCCAUUUUCUUUUUUUCUCAUUGUCUCCAGACAAUUUAGAAUUGAACUGUAGAGUUGCUAAAGGACAAUGUUAAAAUAAGUGACACAGAAAUUUUCUGUACCUAUUAAGAACUUUAUAUGAGUAGUAAAUCAGAAGAUAAGACUUUUCUCAAUGUAUAUCUCCUUGUGCAAGCGUGUACCUGAUUUUAAAUGCAUGUACAUCAUAGAAAAAGAGGUAGGAAAUCCCCUAAGGAAAGAAAUUCAAAGGAACCAAUCUUAUGGGAUUAAGUACUUUACAACAGUAACCAUAAAUAAAAGCUUUUAAAUUCAUUUUUAAAAACUAUGCAAAGGUGUUUCUGCAACUAUUAAUAAACAUGAUCUGUACAGAUUACAACACUGUGGAAGAGUGAGACUGAAAAUGAUCCAUCUUAAAUACUCUGAGUAAAAGCUAAAAGAACUCAGUUGCUUCCUUUUGCCCAAAUACUAACAAUAAUAGUAUGGGGAAAAAUAUUGUUAUCUUGUGCAAGCAAAAAAGCAAUCGAGUGUGGAAAUUAUUUAGGCUUUGGUGGUACAUCAUAUGUUUCAACCCCAGUUUAGAACCACUACUGUUCUUACUGGUAAAGAAGCGACUAAGGAAGAAAUUAAAGUGUGUAAUUAAUGUUACAACAUUACAUUAACACAUAAAUAAUUUCUCUGGCAGGUCAUACCAUUCACAUGCAUAUUUUAUUAAACUGUGAGAAAUAAUUUUCUGAGUGACCCUGAUCUUCCUGCAUGCUUUGAAGUUUGAAAGCCAGCAGUAUAGCCUAUAAGUUUAAAGAAAUUUAGAAAGAAUUGCAAAGUUAAAAGGUACUUUUGAUGUUUGUUCUUUCUCUUCUGUCACAAGGGCAUUCAAUACAGAAGGAGUAGAAAACAUUAAUGCCUAUGAAAUUUCCAUAGCAAUCACGCUCAUUUAACUCUUUCUAAUCACUUAAUAUAAAAGGCUGGAAAUUCAUUUACGAGGGGUGUGAAUAUGGUGCUAGUAAUUUCCUAUCUCGUUGCCCACAAAUUUUUCUCUUACUGUCAUUGCACACAUUGUCAGGAGUUACUGCUUGCAAUGAAAGUAAGCAUCUUCAGCUCUCCAGGUACCCAGAAGUUCCUCAUGUCUCUGGAGGUCAGAUUCAGAGAAUACCCCUUUGCCCUAAAAGCAUCUCCAGUAUCUUUGGUCACAUAAAAAAGGCAUCAGCUUGCCAGAUAACCUCCCCUCCUUUGUCCAAACAGCCUUAUCCUCACCACCCAGACAACUGCAUCCACAAAAUGCUGGAUUGCAAUGGUACAUGUCUGUAGGGUAUAAUUGUGGCACAUGGUGGUCAGUCAGUUUUUAGUUCCUCUCUUUUAAAGAAAGUUUAAUGUUGAAAUCCAGUUGAUAAAUGGGGCCAGGCUGGCUGUGCUGUUAAAUACCUUCCCUUUGUCUCACUCACAAUUCUUCAAGCCUAAUAGGAGCUGAGUCAAUUUUCUGGCAUGCAACUGAGGAGAAAGUACAAUUUCAGCAGUAAAUGAGCACCACCACAGCUGAAGUUCAUGUGAAUUUCCCUAAGGACAGAAAUUCAUUUUACGACUCAUAAGUCUGUAUGCAUUCAGAACAUUUCUGACCAGUAGCACCAACAAGUGGAAAUACAUCAUGGAGUAAAUGCCUUGGUGGAAAUAUUUCAUCUUUAGGUGUGGCAAUGCUAAAGCUUUGUAACAAACCAUAGACUUGACUUUUUGGUGAUUAUUCUUGGAAGCAUUCUAAAUUUUGAGCUAAGAAGGCAAAUGCAGCUAGUGAAAGAAAAUAUCUCACAGGGAGGUUUCAAAGAGUAAGUUUGAAAAAGGAAUCAAAACUGCCUCAGCAAAGGUUAUAAACCCAGAUCUACCCUGUCUCCUGAGCACAGUGUUUCAUGCAGUCCCACCCAUCUUGAAUACUUAAGUGCAAUUUCCCAUUAAAAUUGAAGAAUCAGAGAUUAAAGGGGUCGUGGGUUAUUCAUCUUAACACUGAGCUCUAUCCAGUACCUAAAGACAGAAAGGAACACACCCACAGGCACUCGAAAUAAUCCCUACAUGUAUGUCAUGUGAAAUAUCAUGAGAUUUUUAAAAGCACAUUUAAAUCAAUUAAUCAUAAUAAUAAUUUCAUAAAGGAGAUUUCUCAGAAGUAUUGAUUUAAAUUCCUUCUAAAUUGUUAAAUAAAAUUACCUGGCCACCAAAGAUGAGGUUUUAAGUCUCCCAGUUGGUGCAACAGUCUCUGUUUGCCAGCUGUAUUGUAAUAACUGAAAAGUUAACAUCUCUGACUUCAUAAUUAUUUGAAUUUUAAUGAACAAGAUGAAUUAAAUCUUUCCGCUUAGCUGCUUAUGCUGUGAACUAGCCUGAGUUCCUGAAAGAUAAGAAAUAUAUUGUGCUUAUUCAACAGCUUUUCUGUGUGGAGACAGAGAGAGGAAAAGAAGCCAGGUUUCUGUGGAAUUUAAACUCAUUAUUUAAAAAAACUUGAUAAGGGUAAUUAAAAAUAUAAGUUGUAGAAUUAAUUUUUGAGUUUGAGAUGAGCUCUAAAAUGAGAACAUGGUUCCUUUACUAUGUCUAGGGACAGUGUGCUUUUUUAAAGGGGGGGUGUCUGUCUGGAUGUCACAAAUACAAAUAUAUAUAUAUAAAUAUAAUAUAGAUAUAUAUGCAUUAGAAUAGUAUUUCUUUGUAGUCACAGCAGUCUAAAAAUACAGCUGAAAGUAUCAAAGAACACAUAAUUUCUGCCAGUUUUAAUUCUUUUUUUCCUUUUUGCUGAAGCAUUUAUCUCACUCACUGGUAUCUACAUUUCACACAAAAAAUAUUGAACAUCUUUUAUGUUUUCCAUUUCCCUCAGAAUGAAAGGGAUGUUGGUACAUUGGCGCAAUUUGCCAAUAACACAAGCAAACUAAAUGGGAGAUAAAUAGAUGGUGAAGCUGGCUCAUUUCCAGCUAGUAAAUUCAUUACCAGCAUGGCAGAUCUUGCAGCCAAAAGCAUCAGAUCUUCUGUGCACAACAAAAUAAAGAAGGCUAUGAAUAUUAAUACAAAGCUAUUUUCCUUUUUGAAUUCUGCAAGUCAAACAGACACAGGUGUAUCACAUACAUACAUGCAGACACAUGUGCAAAGGCUGACGUUCUUCAGCUACAUGGAUACUGUUCAACAUGGAAAUUUACUGCUUUAAGUGGGGGAUUAGCAACUACUUAGGGAUUUAACCUCAUUUCUAUGCAAAAAUUCCAAUCAGAGCUUGAAUAAGGAGAUAUUGAUGCACUAAAUAUAUUUUCAGGUGUUUCUAUCCAGUACUGCUCUUCUCUUCCUGCCUCGUGCUUUUCUAUAUUAAACACCAGAAGCAAUGUUUUAAACAAUAGGAAAUGUAAAUCUCUACAAUCAUGUCUUUAAACUGUGCACACUGCAAUUCUUCGAGGGAGGAUUAGAUUAUUUUUAUAUUGCUGGAUUUUUCCUAUCACGUAAUUUUUCCCUGUGAGAUUUUUAGCAUGCUAAAUACUGAAAAAUGCCUUCAUUCCCCAGAAUUAUAAAAUAGUCUUGGAAGAGUAAAAGAGCCUCUCUGUCGCACACCUUUAAGUUUGAAUAUUUUGAUUUCCUGUGUAAUUUCAAUUUUGCUGUGAAUCAGAACUAUCUACAGUAAACAGAAAGUGGAACUGGAGCUUGCUGAUAUUAUGGUCUGUCAGGAACAGGAGCUGUUAUUGCAAGUCUGAAGAAUUUUAUACCUCUCUGAUAGCUUGUAUACCAUCUGAAUCUUAUUAAACUGCUUGUGCCUGACCUGGAGCCUGGAGCCUUACUGAGGAACCUCAAUGCUAAUAACAAAAUAGACCUUAAUGAACCACAGCUUCAAAGAGAAAUAAUAACAAAUUUGAAGGACUUCUUGGAAAGGAUUUUACUAUCAGCAGUGAUUAACAAAAUAAAUAAUGUGCCAGGAAACCAACUGUGGACUGUUACAUUUGUUUGUUUCUGCCUCUGUUUUGACUGCCUGACUGGUCUUUGAGCUUCUUUAUCCUAAAAUGCGUGCCUGAUGCCAAGAGUAACAUCCUUGUUCCGUUCACGGUAUGAAAUACAGUAGGAGGCCAGCAUUAGAGGUACCUGGCAGAACUGACAUUGCAUAUACAGUGAAAUUAUCAAAAAUGCACCAGAUCAAUGUACAACAGAAAACAGAGCUGUAAAACACAGGUUACACAGCAGAACUAUAGAUACAGAAUUGUUCCUUCCCCUGCUGUAGAAAAUGGUCAGCCACUCAUUAGCUGAGGUGGCUCUAAAACUGUAAUUUGCACUUUGAUAAAUGUCAU